AAAAUUAAAAAGAGAAGCUCAGAUUUAAGUUCGCAUCGGCAUUAUUAUAUAUAAUACAUCUAAAUCAUCCUCAUCAGUUAUUUUUGUAGCACUAUUACCAUCAAUAAAGCUAAAUUUACAUUUAUUCUUUAUGCAGGAUAGAGCAUCAAGUAGAUAGCGUGAGUUGAACCCUAUUUCUAUGGGAGUAUCGUUAUAAUCUACAUCUAUGGAUUCAGUAGCGUCACUACACUCUUGAGAAUUUGAAUAUAGAGUCAA